GACGAACGCUGGCGGCGUGCUUAACACAUGCAAGUCGAACGGAAAGGCCCUGCUUUUGUUGGGUGCUCGAUUGGCGAACGGGUGAGUAACACGUGUGUAACCUGCCCUUGACUUUGGGAUAACUUCAGGAAACUUGGGCUAAUACCUGAUAGGAUCUCCUGCUGCAUGGUGGGGGUUGGUAAGUUUCGGCGGUUGGGGAUGGACUCGCGGCUUAUCAGCUUGUUGGUGGGGUAGUGGCUUACCAAGGCUUUGACGGGUAGCCGGCCUGAGAGGGUUACCGGCAACAAUGGGACUGAGAGACGGACCAGACGCCUACGGGAGGCAGCAGUGGGGAAUAUUGCACAAUGGGAGGAAGCCUGAUGAAGAAACGCCGCGUGCGGGAUGAAGGCCUUCGGGUUGUAAACCGAAUUCGCCUGUGACGAAGCGUGAGUGACGGUAAUGGGUAAAGAAGCACCGGCUAACUACGUG
rnacentral:rRNA from 1 species